UUCUCUAUAGGUCCAGUGGUUAGGACUAUGCGCUUUCACUGCUAAGGUCCCAGGUUCAAUCCCUGGUUGGGGAA
rnacentral:tRNA from 1 species